GUACGGUUCAGAUGCAACGUAAUAGUUGAUUCUGGCUCAAUAACCCCACCUGGAUGCAAGCAUUAGUGGCGAACGGGUGAGUAACACGUGAGUAACCUGCCCUUAACUCUGGGAUAAGCCUGGGAAACUGGGUCUAAUACCGGAUAGGAGCGCCUACCGCAUGGUGGGUGUUGGAAAGAUUUAUCGGUUUUGGAUGGACUCGCGGCCUAUCAGCUUGUUGGUGAGGUAAUGGCUCACCAAGGCGACGACGGGUAGCCGGCCUGAGAGGGUGACCGGCCACACUGGGACUGAGACACGGCCCAGACUCCUACGGGAGGCAGCAGUGGGGAAUAUUGCACAAUGGGCGCAAGCCUGAUGCAGCGACGCCGCGUGAGGGAUGACGGCCUUCGGGUUGUAAACCUCUUUCAGUAGGGAAGAAGCGAAAGUGACGGUACCUGCAGAAGAAGCACCGGCUAACUACGUGCCAGCAGCCGCGGUAAUACGUAGGGUGCGAGCGUUAUCCGGAAUUAUUGGGCGUAAAGAGCUCGUAGGCGGUUUGUCGCGUCUGUCGUGAAAGUCCGGGGCUUAACCCCGGAUCUGCGGUGGGUACGGGCAGACUAGAGUGCAGUAGGGGAGACUGGAAUUCCUGGUGUAGCGGUGGAAUGCGCAGAUAUCAGGAGGAACACCGAUGGCGAAGGCAGGUCUCUGGGCUGUAACUGACGCUGAGGAGCGAAAGCAUGGGGAGCGAACAGGAUUAGAUACCUGGUAGUCCAUGCCGUAAACGUUGGGCACUAGGUGUGGGGACCAUUCCACGGUUUCCGCGCCGCAGCUAACGCAUUAAGUGCCCCGCCUGGGGAGUACGGCCGCAAGGCUAAAACUCAAAGGAAUUGACGGGGGCCCGCACAAGCGGCGGAGCAUGCGGAUUAAUUCGAUGCAACGCGAAGAACCUUACCAAGGCUUGACAUGUUCUCGAUCGCCGUAGAGAUACGGUUUCCCCUUUGGGGCGGGUUCACAGGUGGUGCAUGGUUGUCGUCAGCUCGUGUCGUGAGAUGUUGGGUUAAGUCCCGCAACGAGCGCAACCCUCGUUCCAUGUUGCCAGCACGUAAUGGUGGGGACUCAUGGGAGACUGCCGGGGUCAACUCGGAGGAAGGUGAGGACGACGUCAAAUCAUCAUGCCCCUUAUGUCUUGGGCUUCACGCAUGCUACAAUGGCCGGUACAAUGGGUUGCGAUACUGUGAGGUGGAGCUAAUCCCAAAAAGCCGGUCUCAGUUCGGAUUGGGGUCUGCAACUCGACCCCAUGAAGUCGGAGUCGCUAGUAAUCGCAGAUCAGCAACGCUGCGGUGAAUACGUUCCCGGGCCUUGUACACACCGCCCGUCAAGUCACGAAAGUCGGUAU
rnacentral:rRNA from 1 species